rnacentral:rRNA from 1 species
UAAGGAAUAUUGGACAAUGGAGGCAACUCUGAUCCAGCCAUGCCGCGUGAAGGAAUAAGGCCCUAUGGGUUGUAAACUUCUUUUAGACGGGACAAAACCCCUUUACGUGUAAAGGGUUGAUGGUACUGUCAGAAUAAGCAUCGGCUAACUUCGUGCCAGCAGCCGCGGUAAUACGAAGGAUGCAAGCGUUAUCCGGAAUUAUUGGGUUUAAAGGGUGCGUAGGCGGACUAAUAAUUCAGUGGUGAAAGCCUGCAGCUUAACUGCAGAAUUGCCAUUGGUACUGUUAGUCUUGAGUACAGUUGAGGUAGGCGGAAUGUGUCAUGUAGCGGUGAAAUGCUUAGAUAUGACACAGAACACCGAUUGCGAAGGCAGCCUGCUAAGCUUUAACUGACGCUGAGGCACGAAAGCGUGGGGAGCAAACA